UUUUCUUGUAUGAUAUUUUUCCAAACUGGAAAGAGACCUUCAUUGGAGAUGUUUUCAGCUACUCUGCCUUCGUGGGUCCCGUUUCUCUCCAUUGUCGCCACAUUGCCACCAGCACACAGCCCCUUGGAGUCCCGAUGGAAGUAGCCCUGCAUCAUGUGAUGGACUCCAGGGAACUCCAUGAUGGCAGCACAAAGAAGCGGGGAGAAGACAUUUCUCUGCCAUCAUUGUUACAUAUGCCAGUGAGAGGACAGGAUCAAGA
rnacentral:lncRNA from 11 species